UGUUAGGCCAGGUCUAACUGCAUAUAAAGAAUGAUGGGCUUUGAAUUAGCAAUUACCCUUAAGAAAGAAAAUGCAGCUGUGUGGCUUCUCCCCUCCAAAUGCUGGCACCAUCCUCAUGGCCCCAGGGAGGGGAGGAUGGAGAAAGGCUCCAAGAAUGAGGAGCAUCGCUGUGCACAUUCAAUCCUCCAUGAAGGUCUGGUUGCUCAUUGCAGAAACAGGAGAAUGGUUGAACUUGUCUGGGGCUUUGACUUGAGAAACAGCGGGGGAGAUGCUCAAAACAAGCCUGCAGAGCUGAAAAUAGCACACACCGGCUGCUGCUGCUUUCAAGAUAAAGAUGUCACCAGGUAUGAAGUGGGCUUCACUGAGCAAACGAAGAAGAAAUAAGAAGGACAACCAAGGGUUUAGUUUAAUAAGCAAGGAAAUGGACGCCAGCAGAUGCCGGUCCAUCUCCUGGAGUCAUGGAUGGUGCUGGGAACAGGUGAGUGAGUUCCCGCCUGGCCAUUUGGUUCGGUAUCUCCUGCUGCUUGGUUUCCUCUUCCUGAGCACCCACAGAUUUCCGCCAAACUGUUUAGUGCAUCUCCCUAAGAAAGAAAUCCAAUUGCUUGUCAAGCAGCAGCACUUGCUUCUGUUCCCUCCGAGCAGACAGGGUCUGUAACGAAUGACUUGCAUACAGUAAUUACAGUCUAUUCCUUCCUCUCUUGCAUUGAUUAUUCACAUGUGGAAAGAAAGUUCUCUCCUGAAUAACAGAAAAGAUCUGAAGAGCCAAAUAUUGGAUUUUCCCCCCCCUCUUCCCCCUCUCCUUUGUUUUCUGGGUACCAUUUGCAGACAUGGUAUCCUGAAGAGAUGAAACAUCUAUAACAAACCCCCCUGUCAGAGUGCUUGUAGUUUAUGUUCAUUUAAAGGACAAUUUUGGGUCACCUCUUUGUAUUUUAAUAGUCAAAAAUAUUUUGCAUAAUAAUUUAACUCCUCUCUGCUGCCUGUAAUGACUAUCUGCAUUUUCUGAUGGAUGUUUCUAUUUGUUUCCUGUGAUUUACAUGACCUGACAUCUCAUAUAAUGACCUUCCCAGCGCAAAUACCAUUUGUGAUACUCUGCUCAGCGUUAAUCUAUCAUUUGAUGACCUUACAAGUGCUGGGGCCACGGAUUCAAUCAGCGAAAUGUUUCAGGGUGUAAUUAAUUAAUUUUCCCCCUUCCCACUCUGCAACUGUUCGCUUAAAAUCUGACGAAAGUGAUGCUUUUUCAUAACACUUCUUCAAUACAUAUGGUUUGUUUGUGUAAUCAAUCACGCUAAGUUGGGAAGUUCUUAGUAUUCAUGGCUUUGUCUUGCUUGAAACUUCCAAAUGUUUGUUUUGCAGCCUAAUUUAAUAGUUUAAUUAGGCAAACAACCAGCUACUGCACUCCUUAAAGUACACUCGGGUUGGGAUUUAAAAACGCUGUUUUGCCUUUGCUAAAGCUGGGCUGGAUCACACUGCACAGGCAGCAGAGCCGGGCUGGCCGUGAGUGGCACUGCUGAGCCACACCAUGGCUUGGCACAAACCAUGAUGGAUCUGUUGGCUCUCAGCUCUAGGCUUCUCAUCGAACAAAGAAGAGUGUUUGUGGUCUUAGGGUUGAGCAGCCUUUGCUUGCAGCCACGUUGCUUAAAAGCUUGGGUAAAUGUCAGAAGUGAAGGGUGUGGGUGACGGCUCUAGGAUGGAAUUCCCUAUUCUGGGAUUUUCGUCUUCACAGGAAAGACAUUGGCUGCCAUCCCCACCCUCGUCUAUGUUACAAAGCGUCUGGCGUUGUAUCUCUGCCUUUGACCUUAUGCUGUGUUUUGUAGGUCU